rnacentral:lncRNA from 1 species
AAAGAUAUAAGCAGAGUUAUCCAAAGUGUUGCCCUGCCCUGAUUGAACGAACUUGAUUUUUUUAUAAGAAACUCAAACUUGAUGCAUUAUAAAAUUGGCCAUUAACCAACAAAAAGUACAAACAUCUUUUUUCCCAGCAAAUUGCAAGCAGGAGCCAACAACCCAAAAAUCAAUGUGCAUAGCCGCACAUACGAAAUUUAAAUAUGGAAUUCUAUCUAAGAAUGUAGAAUGUGUAACAUUCAACUAAAAAUAAGGAUGAGAGUAAGAGCCAAUUUACCAAACAUACCUCCUCAACCACUAAAACAAAUGCAGGACAUGAAAGAAACAUACCCCUAAAGUUAGCUCAACACUAAAACAACCUUGUAAUUUUGGAACCUUGAUCAUUUUUCAGAUAUAACUUUCCCUACCUUUCUGCUCUACAACUGCAAGCUUAGUACUGUUUCUUACUUGGGUUCCAGUUGCAGGGAAGCACUGCAAAAUAACCAUAGUUCAGAUUAAGUCCAUCAAAAAAUGAAUUGCAUAAGAUCAAAGACACCAACUCAAUAUGAUGAAGAACAUGAAGCACAUAAAAAUAAAUUAAUCUGUCAUGUCAUAGCGGUAAAUAAAAUUUCUAUGCAUUUCUACUUCAUAACAUCUUCAACUAUUUUAUGUUUACAUGAAUGAUAUUAUGAUAGGAAGCACUAGUUUGUUGCAUGUUCAAUGAAACCCCGAUUCAACCAACAGUCUUAAUGAUUGUGCCAAUUUAAUUAGGCAUGUGAAGCAUAUCAAUGGAUCCAUAUAACAAGGAAAGGGAUGGUUCAUAUCCAAUACCAAAUGCAUUUUUCUAGUUAAGGAAAAUUGAAACAGGUGGGAGAAGUGAAUACCUGCUCAAUAUAACAGCUGUUGCAGUAAAGGCAAAUUUACAUUAAGGAAAAUUCUAAUGAACAAAAAUAUUAGCCUAAAGAAAAUAUUUGAAAAAACAAAAGAUGAAGCUAAUCAUAAUCAGCACAUCUUCACCAUAACACAAGAAAAAAUGCUAACGAAACUAAAUUUGAAAUGUAAAUAUUCGAUGAGGAAAUAUCUGAAAAAACCAACAUGCAAAUCUCACCGUAUAAUCUUCAACAUUACAAAAAGGAUUUGAAGACAAAACAUAUGAUCACAUAAAAAAUGAAAUCAAAACUUAACUGGCUAGGCUUAUGGAAAUAUAACUCUCCUCCUAUCAUGUAUGUAAGUCUCCUCAAAUUUCAAGGAAAAUAAAAAUAAUAAAUAAUUAAAAAAUGCAAAAUCUCUUCCUACAGAAAGAAAACAAUGGAAUAAGUAUUAAAUUUUAAUUUUUUACUUUAUUUUUUAAAUAAAAAAGAACCACAACUAAUUAAGCUUCCUUUAGUGAGCCACUCUAUUGCUUAUGCUAAAUUGGAUAGGGAUUCUAGACCCAUCCAUGGUUUCAUCUCUCCUUUGAACAUGAAUGUAUGUGCAUGUCACGGUUCCACACAUCAGACAAAUCUAAUUCUAAAAAAUAAAUCAAACAAAAAAAAUUACAGCAAAAAAAAAAAAGGUAAAUAAAAAAGGUAAAUAACACUAAGUGAAAGUUUGAAUAACAUCUCUACCUCCUUUGUUAGGAACCCAAAUUUUCUAUGGCAUCUUUUUACUCUUCAUGCAUUCAUACAACAAAGUGGCAAAUUUUUUCUAUUUUUCUAAACACGUUUACUGGAAAAAAAGCUUUUCAUGCAUUCAUAUAUACAUAUACAUACAUACAUAUAUAUAUAUAUAUAUAUAUAUAUAUAACAUCCAAGUAUCAUCCUUAAGCAUAACUUACCUGGUUAAUCUCUUCAGUUAAAAUAAAAAAAGACAAAGCAAGUCCUCAUCUUUGCAGAAAUAUUCUACUAUUUUCUUUUAUUCUCCCCUUUUUCUCCCUCCAUCUCUUUCUCUUUUCCAACAAUACCACAUGAAUUGUAACCAGCUGCCAAUCCAAUCACUAAAACACCAAUUCAGACACUGCAGCCAUUCUUAAAAAUUUUAGGAAAGAAUUAAUUAAUUGACAAGAAAAGCCUCAAAUUGGUUGAUUGUGGACAAAUCAUGAUGAAAAGAAAAAAAAAUGGAAGAAAGGUUGAAUGGGAAAGAGAACAAAGAGAAAAGAAAGAAAGAACUGGAAAGAAAUAGAGAGGCGGGGUGAAAAUCUGUAUUAAUUUGGGAAAAAAAAAAAGAAUAGGUUUGAAAAUUCUAGUGAUUUGGGGAAAGAGAUGAUAUACAAGGAUUUUUUUUUUUUUUUCAGACUUCCUUUCUUAUAACCUUUUAAUUCUUCUUUUAUAUCCUUGUUUUCUCCGCUCAUGUCUCUUCUUUUUUCUCUUUCUAAUUCAUCCAAUUAAGAGACACAAACCCUCAAAUCCUAAGCGUAAGCCCACCAAACUCAAACAAAAGACAGCUGUAAACAUUAGAAACCCUUAGGGAUU